UACGUAGGUGGCAAGCGUUGUCCGGAUUUACUGGGCGUAAAGAGCGCGCAGGCGGUCGGAUAAGUCGAAUGUGAAAGCCCCCCGGCUCAACUGGGGAGGGUCACGCGAUACUGAUCGACUCGAAGGCAGGAGAGGGUAGUGGAAUUCCCGGUGUAGUGGUGAAAUGCGUAGAGAUGUGGAGGAACACCAGUGGCGAAGGCGGCUUUCUGGUCUGUAACUGACGCUGAGGCGCGAAAGCGUGGGGAGCAAACAGG
rnacentral:rRNA from 1 species